CACGUAGGGGACGAGCGUUGUCCGGAUUCAUUGGGCGUAAAGCGCGCGUAGGCGGCUCGGAAAGUCGGUCGUGAAAUGCCGGGGCUCAACCCCGGGACUGCGUCCGAUACUCUCGAGCUGGAGGCAGGUAGGGGAGAUCGGAAUUCCUGGUGUAGCGGUGAAAUGCGCAGAUAUCAGGAGGAACACCAGUGGCGAAGGCGACUUCCUGGCCUGUUCUUGACGCUGAGGCGCGAAAGCUAGGGGGAGCAAACGGG
rnacentral:rRNA from 1 species